GACGAACGCUGGCGGCGUGCCUAAUACAUGCAAGUAGAACGCUGAAGAGAGGAGCUUGCUCUUCUUGGAUGAGUUGCGAACGGGUGAGUAACGCGUAGGUAACCUGCCUUGUAGCGGGGGAUAACUAUUGGAAACGAUAGCUAAUACCGCAUAACAAUGGAUGACCCAUGUCAUUUAUUUGAAAGGGGCAAAUGCUCAACUACAAGAUGGACCUGCGUUGUAUUAGCUAGUAGGUGAGGUAACGGCUCACCUAGGCGACGAUACAUAGCCGACCUGAGAGGGUGAUCGGCCACACUGGGACUGCGACACGGCCCAGACUCCUACGGGAGGCAGCAGUAGGGAAUCUUCGGCAAUGGGGGCAACCCUGACCGCGCAACGCCGCGUGGGUGAAGAAGGUGUUCGGAUCGUAAAGCUCUGUUGUAAGUCAAGAACGAGUGUGAGAGUGGAAAGUUCACACUGUGACGGUAGCUUACCAGAAAGGUACGGCUAACUACGUG
rnacentral:rRNA from 1 species